rnacentral:rRNA from 1 species
UACAGAGGGUGCGAGCGUUGUUCGGAAUUACUGGGCGUAAAGCGCACGCAGGCGGUUCUUGUAAGCCAGAUGUGAAAUCCCCGGGCUUAACCUGGGAAUGGCAUUUGGGACUGCAAGGCUGGAGUGCGGCAGAGGAGACUGGAAUUCCUGGUGUAGCAGUGAAAUGCGUAGAUAUCAGGAGGAAUACCGAUGGCGAAGGCAGGUCUCUGGGCUGACACUGACGCUCAUGCACGAAAGCGUGGGGAGCAAACAGG